AUUAAAGCAUAGUUUCCGUACUAUCACCGAAGUUAAGCAACUUCGAGCCUCAUCAGUACCUAGAUGGGUGAUCGUUUGGGAACACCAUGUGUUGUAA